UGGCAAGAAGCGAAAGAGCAGCUUAUUUCUCUGUUUAAUUUACAAGAGCUACAACUGGAACGGCACAUACUAGACUUACUGAUGUAACACACAGUGCCAUUGCAAGACCAUUGGAGGACUCAGAGAUCGAAGGGUACCUGGUUCAUCUGGAUGAGACCUGGAAAACAAGAGUCAUGAAUCAGUAAACACCCACAGCAAACAACAUGUUUUUU
rnacentral:lncRNA from 1 species